rnacentral:rRNA from 1 species
UACGUAGGGCGCAAGCGUUUUCCGGAAUUAUUGGGCGUAAAGAGCUCGUAGGCGGCUUGUCAAGUCGGGUGUGAAAGCCCGGGGCUUAACCCCGGGUCUGCAUUCGAUACGGGCUAGCUAGAGUGUGGUAGGGGAGAUCGGAAUUCCUGGUGUAGCGGUGAAAUGCGCAGAUAUCAGGAGGAACACCGGUGGCGAAGGCGGGUCUCUGGGCCGAUACUGACGCUGAGGAGCGAAAGCGUGGGGAGCGAACAGG